AUUGAACGCUGGCGGCAGGCCUAACACAUGCAAGUCGAACGGUAACAGGAAGAAGCUUGCUUCUUUGCUGACGAGUGGCGGACGGGUGAGUAAUGUCUGGGAAACUGCCUGAUGGAGGGGGAUAACUACUGGAAACGGUAGCUAAUACCGCAUAACGUCGCAAGACCAAAGAGGGGGACCUUCAGGCCUCUUGCCAUCGGAUGUGCCCAGAUGGGAUUAGCUAGUAGGUGGGGUAACGGCUCACCUAGGCGACGAUCCCUAGCUGGUCUGAGAGGAUGACCAGCCACACUGGAACUGAGACACGGUCCAGACUCCUACGGGAGGCAGCAGUGGGGAAUAUUGCACAAUGGGCGCAAGCCUGAUGCAGCCAUGCCGCGUGUAUGAAGAAGGCCUUCGGGUUGUAAAGUACUUUCAGCGGGGAGGAAGGGAGUAAAGUUAAUACCUUUACUCAUUGACGUUACCCGCAGAAGAAGCACCGGCUAACUCCGUG
rnacentral:rRNA from 1 species